rnacentral:piRNA from 2 species
UGAAUUAGAUGGAACUGCAUGUCCCCAAG